rnacentral:rRNA from 1 species
GACGAACGCUGGCGGCGUGCUUAACACAUGCAAGUCGAACGGAAAGGCCCUGCUUUUGUGGGGUGCUUGAGUGGCGAACGGGUGAGUAACACGUGAGUAACCUGCCCUUGACUUUGGGAUAACUUCAGGAAACUGGGGCUAAUACCGGAUAGGAGCUCCUGCUGCAUGGUGGGGGUUGGAAAGUUUCGGCGGUUGGGGAUGGACUCGCGGCUUAUCAGCUUGUUGGUGGGGGAGUGGCUUACCAAGGCUUUGGCGGGUAGCUGGCCUGAGAGGGUGACCGGCCACCCCGGGUCUGAGACACGGUCCAGGCUGCUGCGGGAGGGAGCAGUGGGGAAUAUUAGGCAGUGGUCUGGAGGUGCACACAGCCAUACCGCGUGGGGGAAGAAGCCCUCUCGGUUGUAAAGAACUGUAGGUGGUAAAGAAGAGCAGUGGGGUUAUCCAUCGCGGUACUGAAGCUACCCAAUGAAGAAGGAGCGGGUGACUUCGUG